UACGUAGGGGGCAAGCGUUGUCCGGAAUCAUUGGGCGUAAAGCGCGCGUAGGCGGCCCGGUAAGUCCGCUGUGAAAGUCAAAGGCUCAACCUUUGAAUGUCAGCGGAUACUGCCGGGCUAGAGUCCGGAAGAGGCGAGUGGAAUUCCUGGUGUAGCGGUGAAAUGCGCAGAUAUCAGGAGGAACACCGAUGGCGAAGGCAGCUCGCUGGGACGGUACUGACGCUGAGACGCGAAAGCGUGGGGAGCAAACAGG
rnacentral:rRNA from 1 species